rnacentral:rRNA from 1 species
UUCCGGUUGAUCCUGCCAGAGGUUACUGCUAUCGAGGUUCGACUAAGCCAUGCGAGUCGAAUGUAGCAAUACAUGGCGUACUGCUCAGUAACACGUGGAUAACCUACCCUUGAGACGGGGAUAAACCCGGGAAACUGGGUAUAAUACCCGAUAGAUCUCGACUGCUGGAAUGCAUCGAGCUCUAAAGCUCCGGCGCUCAAGGAUGGGUCUGCGGCCUAUCAGGUAGUAGUGGGUGUAGCGUACCUACUAGCCUACGACGGGUACGGGUUGUGAGAGCAAGAGCCCGGAGAUGGAUUCUGAGACACGAAUCCAGGCCCUACGGGGUGCAGCAGGCGCGAAAACUUUACAAUGCUGGAAACAGCGAUAAGGGGACCUCGAGUGCCAGGUUACAGAUCUGGCUGCCGUGAUGCCUAAAAAGCAUUGCAUAGCAAGGGCCGGGCAAGACCGGUGCCAGCCGCCGCGGUAACACCGGCGGCUCGAGUGGUAACCGUUAUUAUUGGGUCUAAAGGGCCUGUAGCCGGCCGGAUAAGUCUCUUGGGAAAUCUGGCAGCUUAACUGUCAGGCUUUCAGGAGAUACUGUCUGGCUCGAGGCCGGGAGAGGUGAGAGGUACUUCGGGGGUAGGGGUGAAAUCUUGUAAUCCUUGAAGGACCACCAGUGGCGGAGGCGUCUCACCAGAACGGACCUGACGGCAAGGGACGAAAGCUAGGGGCACGAACCGGAUUAGAUACCCGGGUAGUCCUAGCCGUAAACGAUACUCGCUAGGUGUCGGCCGCGGUGCGACCGUUGUCGGUGCCGUAGGGAAGCCGUGGAGCGAGCCACCUGGGAAGUACGGCCGCAAGGCUGAAACUUAAAGGAAUUGGCGGG